AUUGAACGCUAGCGGGAUGCUUUACACAUGCAAGUCGAACUAGUUGCGGCCGGUUGAGUAAUAUAUCGGAACGUGCCCAGUAGCGGGGGCUAACUACUCGCAAGAGUGGCUAAUACCGCAUACUAUUGUAUCGGCCCAUAUCGGAUUAGCUAGUUGUUGGGGUAAAGGCUCACCAAGGCAACGAUCCGUAGCUGGUUUGAGAGGACGACGAGACACACUGGGACUGAGACACGGCCCAGACUCCUACUGGAGGCAGCAGUGGGGAAUUUUGGACAAGGGGGGAAACCCUGAUCCAGCCAUCCGGCGUGUAUGAGAAGGCCUUCGGGUUGUAAAGUACUUUUGGCAGAGAAGCGGUAUCUGCAGAAUAAGCACCGGCUAACUACGUGACAGCAGCCGCGGUAAUAC
rnacentral:rRNA from 1 species